GAUGAAUGCUGGCGGCGUGCCUAAUACAUGCAAGUCGAGCGAACAGACGAGGAGCUUGCUCCUCUGACGUUAGCGGCAGACGGGUGAGUAACACGUGGAUAACCUACCUAUAAGACUGGGAUAACUUCGGGAAACCGGAGCUAAUACCGGAUAAUAUAUUGAACCGCAUGGUUCAAUAGUGAAAGACGGUUUUGCUGUCACUUAUAGAUGGAUCCGCGCCGCAUUAGCUAGUUGGUAAGGUAACGGCUUACCAAGGCGACGAUGCGUAGCCGACCUGAGAGGGUGAUCGGCCACACUGGAACUGAGACACGGUCCAGACUCCUACGGGAGGCAGCAGUAGGGAAUCUUCCGCAAUGGGCGAAAGCUUGACGGAGCAACGCCGCGUGAGUGAUGAAGGUCUUCGGAUCGUAAAACUCUGUUAUUAGGGAAGAACAAAUGUGUAAGUAACUAUGCACGUCUUGACGGUACCUAAUCAGAAAGCCACGGCUAACUACGUG
rnacentral:rRNA from 1 species